ACAGAGGUCUCAAGCGUUGUUCGGAUUCAUUGGGCGUAAAGGGUGCGUAGGUGGCGCCGUAAGUCAGGUGUGAAAUCUCGGGGCUCAACCCCGAAACUGCACUUGAUACUGCGGUGCUCGAGUACUGGAGAGGAGAUUGGAAUUUACGGUGUAGCAGUGAAACGCGUAGAUAUCGUAAGGAAGACCAGUGGCGAAGGCGAAUCUCUGGGACGGUACUGACGCUGAGACGCGAAAGCGUGGGGAGCGAACAGGA
rnacentral:rRNA from 1 species